rnacentral:rRNA from 1 species
GACAGAGGCCUCGAGCGUUAGGCGGAAUCACUGGGCUUAAAGCGUGUGUAGGCGGAUCGUUAAGUACCUUGUGAAAUCCCACGGCUCAACCGUGGAACGGCUGGGUAUACUGGCGGUCUUGGGCCAUUCAGGGGCGACUGGAACAAGCGGUGGAGCGGUGAAAUGCGUAGAUAUCGCUUGGAACGCCGAAGGUGAAAACAGGUCGCUGGGGGAUGUGCCGACGCUGAGACACGAAAGCCAGGGGAGCAAACGGG